AGAAUAGAAAUAUAGAUCAAUGAAGCAGAAUAGUGAGUCCAGAAAUGGACCCACACAUAAUGUGGUCAACUCACUUUGACAAAAGGUGUCAAAUCAAA